rnacentral:misc_RNA from 1 species
GAAGUAGAGGAAAAGCUUGAAGCAGGGCAAGGGAAAACAAGUUUCCGCCGCUUCUUUUCUAGAUUUUGUACCCCAAUAUUUUUGGAGUCAUUCAUAUUAACCUUUCUAGCUGAGUGGGGAGAUCGUAGCCAGAUUGCAACAAUUGCUCUGGCAACCCACAAAAAUGCAAUUGGUGUAGCUGUGGGGGCUACAUUAGGACACACAAUCUGCACUUCCCUGGCAGUUGUGGGAGGAAGCAUGCUAGCAUCUAAGAU